UGAAUUGGGCUAAUUUCCUUUGGAGUUGGAGGGUCUGCAGAUGCCUUGCAGUCACUAAUGAUUUAAUCCAAGACACAUGGAUUUAUUCCAAGGCAGAGACAUCCUGUAACACAUACUUUACAGGAGGGGAUAUGGGAAAGCAAAGAACAAACUUCUCCAAAGACGGUUUUGAUGCACACGUUGAGGUAUUCAGAGCUUGAUAUUUGGAGAUACUGAGUACCACUGACUGAUCUUUGUGCUGUAGAAUUUUGUAUUAGAAUAUUUGGGGCCAAGCUGUCUCCUGUUGGUUACCCAAAGCCAAAUGAUAAAUUCAGACGUGGUGGUUUCAGUGCUUUUCCCAAGCUCUUCUAAUGAGUCAUUAAGAAUGAAGAGAGGUUCUUAGCAGUCACAGUUCCCAGCUCUCAUGCCAGACCACACCACUUUCGAGUCAAAUAGACAUUUCUUAAUCUCUCUUUGCUAAUGGCCAUAGCUCUGAAGCAAGUUAUUCAAUAAUAAAACUGGAAAUGGCAGCCAGGAAAUGCUGACUGUCUCCACAUGCUUUAACAAUACUCCCCAUAGGGUAUUAUUAACCUUUUCAUAUCUGGUCCAUAUCUGUUUGUGAAUCUGGAGUUUUAGAAAUGGACAUUUUUCAUUAGUGCCUUCAGGAGUUACAUUCUUGGAUUUUUGCUCUGAAUGUCUGGGGUUUUUAUCUUUUUUUUUUUUCUUCCUCUUCUUUACCUCCCAAGUAGAAGUCAGGAGGUAAAUCCAAGAGAUUGCUCUGAGCAGAAAACAUUUCUCCUCAAGAGGUUGUGCCUAUAUAUGUAUGAUCCCUGGUGGGCUGCAGAAUACCUGUUUACUGAUCAUAGCUUGCUUCUACUCCUGGUACACUGAAUAGUAUGGUUACAGUACCUAAAAGGUCUAAGAUUAGUCAACAAGCAUCAGGGAGUGAUGGUGUCAGCUGUGUACCAAAGGGCAACACGAGAGUCUUGACUUACUUACAUGUCCUGCUUACCCGUAUCACGGAGAGCUGCCAAACAGAAGAAAAUACCUUCAAGCCUUUCUGGCUGUUGCUGCCCAGAAAAGAGCGCUGCAGGGCAGCAUUACAGAGACUUGACAGAGCUGCACAGACGAUGGUGGGCUGGAAGAUGCUGACAAGAAAGGCUGGAAGGAGCCAAGAGGGCAUGAGGCUUCAGCUGAAGGUUACGGGUGCUACAGAUGAACUCCUAGGAAGAGCAGUGUGCGAGGCCUGGAGGCAGAGACCCUACAGUGCAGCCGGGGUAGCAGUUACCCCCCUGGCCCAAGUGCCCGAAACCAGGCCAACUGCUCCAAGAAGCAUCCUGAGGAGAAGCGAAGCCUGGGGCUGCUCUCCUGGUGGCCAGCCCGUGAU
rnacentral:lncRNA from 1 species